AAUUAUUGAAGGGCCGCGGUAUCUUGACCGUGCGAAGGUAGCAUAAUCAUUAGUUUUUUAAUUGGAAACUUGUAUGAAUGGUUGGACAAAGAAAAAGCUGUCUCUAUAGUAGAAUUUGAAGUUAACUUUUAAGUGAGAAGGCUUAAAUAUUUUAAGGGGACGAUAAGACCCUAUAAAGCAUUAUGUUGGGGCGACAUAGGUAUAAGUAAUAACUGCUUAAUGAAGUAUACAAUAAUAUAUGAAAUGAUCCUUGAUAAAGAUUAGAAGGCUAAGUUACUUUAGGGAUAACAGCGUUAUUUUUUUUGAGAGUUCAUAUCGAAAAAAGAGUUUGCGACCUCGAUGUUGAAUUAAAAUAUCUGUAUAAUGUAGCCGUUAUAUUAGAAGGUCUGUUCGACCUUUAAAUUUUU
rnacentral:rRNA from 1 species